rnacentral:antisense_RNA from 1 species
AGCUAAGAACACGCGGGUGAAAUCAUAUUUUUGCUGUUGACUUUUUAAAUUUAAAAACCUAACCAGCCGGUUAACUGGUCAGGUUUAAACAAGGGAGGGCACCUAAGAAGAUAGGUGCCCAGGAGAUUUAUGAAAAGGGAAAACAAGGGGAAAACCUAUUCUCCCAACGGUUUAGGUAAACCGCUUUUUAGGAUGUUUUCAUUCUACGAUAGUAACC